GUACUCGACAAAAAAUUGGUAGAGUCCACGAUUUCUAAAAAUCUUUCAUCUUUCAUCAAUAUUCUACAAAAGGUUAAGAACCACUGCUAUAUAGAACUCAAAUAUGAGAUCAAAUUAAAAAAUUUUUCAUUUUCAUGAAAAACCUAGUUUUUCCUGAUCUAAUGCUGUAUAGCAUCAUUGAGAGUAUAGGGAUAUAUAUUUUACACUUUAAAUUUGAACUUGGAUAUUUAUUCUAAAAUAAAAUUAUCAACUUUUUAAAAAAUAUAUAAA